rnacentral:rRNA from 1 species
CCUACGGGGGGCAGCAGUGAGGAAUAUUGGUCAAUGGACGAAAGUCUGAACCAGCAAAGUAGCGUGAAGGAUGACUGCCCUAUGGGUUGUAAACUUCUUUUAUAAAGGAAUAAAACGAGGCACGUGUGCCUUUUUGCAUGUCCUUUAUGAAUAAGGCUCGGCUAACUCCGUGCCAGCAGCGGCGGUAAUACGGAGGAUCCGAGCGUUAUCCGGAUUUAUUGGGUUUAAAGGGAGCGUGGAUGGGUUGUUAAGUCAGUUGUGAAAGUUUGCGGCUCAACCGUAAAAUUGCAAUUGAUACUGGCAGUCUAGAGUACAGUUGAGGUAGGCGGAAUUCGUGGUGUAGCGGUGAAAUGCUUAGAUAUCACGAAGAACCCCGAUUGCGAAGGCAGCUUACUAAACUGUGACUGACAUUGAUGCUCGAAAGUGUGGGUAUCAAACAGGAUUAGAUACCCCAGUAGUC